AUGAGACAUAGAACCAAAAAUGAAAACAAAAGGUGCAAAAUAACAAAACAAAACAGAAAAAAGACAGACAUAAAUAAGUUACCUAGUAUAACAAUAAUUGAUGAUGAGAAGAAGAAACAAGUGAUGUUAAUAUGGAAAAUUCCAACAGAACCAAAUGAAGACUUUUUCAAAACAAGGAAAUCCCUCAAUUUGUAG